AGCGAACGCUGGCGGCAGGCUUAACACAUGCAAGUCGAACGGGCAUCUUCGGAUGUCAGUGGCAGACGGGUGAGUAACACGUGGGAACGUACCCUUCGGUUCGGAAUAACUCAGGGAAACUCGAGCUAAUACCGGAUACGCCCUUUUGGGGAAAGGUUUACUGCCGAAGGAUCGGCCCGCGUCUGAUUAGCUUGUUGGUGGGGUAACGGCCUACCAAGGCGACGAUCAGUAGCUGGUCUGAGAGGAUGAUCAGCCACACUGGGACUGAGACACGGCCCAGACUCCUACGGGAGGCAGCAGUGGGGAAUAUUGGACAAUGGGCGCAAGCCUGAUCCAGCCAUGCCGCGUGAGUGAUGAAGGCCUUAGGGUUGUAAAGCUCUUUUGUCCGGGACGAUAAUGACGGUACCGGAAGAAUAAGCCCCGGCUAACUUCGUG
rnacentral:rRNA from 1 species